rnacentral:lncRNA from 1 species
CUGCACAACUCCAGGGAGAGUGUGCAUUGGUUUUCAGCAGUCCACUCCAUAAUCAUAUGAAUUGGAGAGAUAUAACUUGGACAUCUCUGGAGAGAACAGGCAUGGGCGAUCUCAAGAGGAGCAAGAGCCAAAAACACUUUGGACCUUGAAAGGCCACUCACAUGCCCUGCCCACCCUCCCAAAAAUAUUUUUAAAAUUUUUUUAACUGAAAAAGCCCUGAUGCCCUCUAGUGGUUAAUUCUAAAAAUAAGAAAAUUAUUGAAGGGUGGGCCACUCACAUGCCCUGUCCACCCUCCCAAAAAUACAGUAUUUCAAAAGUUUUUUUAAACUGAAAAAGCCCUGAUGCCCUCUAGUGGUUAAUUCUAAAAACAAGAAAAUUAUUGAAGGGUGUGGGUGCAGAGGUUCUAAUCUAGAAAGAGCAGAAACAUAACAAUAUUGCCUCUCAUGCCACUUAGAAGUCAGAAGGGGGUUUUCUGAGGUGGAUUAUUGAAAAAACAGGAUGUGAAGCUAUGCUGCAUCGGGCUCAGAGAGAGGCCACUCACAUGCCCUGCCCACCCUCCCAAAAAUAUUUUUAAAAUUUUUUUAACUGAAAAAGCCCUGAUGCCCUCUAGUGGCUAAUUCUAAAAAUAAGAAAAUUAUUGAAGGGUGUGGGUGCAGAGGUUCUAAUCUAGAAAGAGCAGAAACAUAACAAUAUUGCCUCUCAUGCCACUUAGAAGUCAGAAGGGGGUUUUCUGAGGUGGAUUAUUGAAAAAACAGGAUGUGAAGCUAUGCUGCAUCGGGCUCAGAGAGCUGUUUGUGGCCUUCUAGCCAAGUUCUACUGAUCCCAUUUUAAAAUCAUGCCAUAGUGAAAUCACAUACAGUGGUGCCUCGCUAGACAGUUACCCCACAUGACAAUUUUUUUGCUAGACAUUGACUUUUUGCGAUCGCUAUAGUGAUUCGCGUAUUGCCUCUCACGCCACUUAGAAGUCAGAAGGGGUUUUUCUGAGGUGGAUUAUUAAAAAAAAC